rnacentral:rRNA from 1 species
GGGAGGUAGUGACAAUAAAUAACAAUACGGGGUUCUUUAGGAUCUCGUAAUUGGAAUGAGUACAAUUUAAAUCUCUUAACGAGGAACAAUUGGAGGGCAAGUCUGGUGCCAGCAGCCGCGGUAAUUCCAGCUCCAAUAGCGUAUAUUAAAGUUGUUGCAGUUAAAAAGCUCGUAGUUGAAUUUCGGGGUUAGUAGGUUGGUCAUGCCUCUGGUAUGUACUGGUCUCACUGAUUCCUCCCUCUUGACGAACUGUAAUGUCAUUAAUUUGGUGUUGCAGGAAAUCAGGACUGUUACUUUGGAAAAAUUAGAGUGUUUAAAGCAGGCUAGCGCCUGAAUACAUUAGCAUGGAAUAAUGAAAUAGGACGUUCGAACCUAUUUUGUUGGUUUCUAGGAUUGACGUAAUGAUUAAUAGGGAUAGUUGGG